GCUAAUGCCUGUUUCCCCUCUAGUCAGUAAUUUUCAGGGCCUUGGCUGCAUGAGGAGAAAAGGCAGAAGCCCAACUUGUUUCUGCCUCCCUGGAGAAGCUUUUGAGACCAGCCCGCUCAGAGGACCAAUGCGGGAGCCUGAGCCCCUGAUGCGUCUCGGGAGGCCUGGCCCCCUCAUCCAUCCCUACCUCUCCGAGGACGUCGGGGUGCGGACAGACAGGAAGGAAGCCGCGGGGCUGACCUGAACCAGACCUUCGGACCCCUGGACGACGGAGGACCGACCGGCCCCUCUCGGGAUGCAACCAGCACUGCACCGGCCCCCCCGUGAGGGCGUCGGUUGGCACCGAGCUGCCCCCCCCAUGGCCACUCUAUCCCACCCCCAUCCCACGAUUGUAUCCCCUUCCUUCAGACAAUGCCAUUUCCUUUGGGUAGGGGUCAAGGGUCAAACACUGCAUCAAGGGUUCCACAUGCAUCUCUGGCAAUUCCUGGAAGUGAUGGAUGUGCUUGUGACUGUGGUGUGAGAACGAGUGUCGGGACCAGAUCAGGGUGAGGGGGCCGCCCCUCUUUGGACGGGGUGACGGGUUCUGGAAACAGGGGCCAAGGGUUUGGGACAGGUGCUCUGACGAUGGACCUCCAGACCUGGGGUGAAGCUGCCUGGGGCCCUUAAUUCUGUAGACAGAGCGGCUUCCUCCGGGUCCGUCCAUCUGAAGGGAUCUGCCCCUGCUCUGGCUUCAAGAGUACAGACUCGCCUGCCCGCCCGAGGGGGGUGCCCCAGGGGGAGCGGGGUCCAGGGACAGAAAUAGUCGGGGGUGUGUGUGUAUCUGCGUGGAUGUGUGUGCGACUGCUGUGUGUCAUCCAUCUCUCCUGGAGGAGCCGAAU